rnacentral:rRNA from 1 species
AGCGAACGCUGGCGGCAGGCCUAACACAUGCAAGUCGAACGGAUCCUUCGGGAUUAGUGGCGGACGGGUGAGUAACACGUGGGAACGUGCCCUUUGGUUCGGAACAACUCAGGGAAACUUGAGCUAAUACCGGAUGUGCCCUUCGGGGGAAAGAUUUAUCGCCAUUGGAGCGGCCCGCGUCUGAUUAGCUAGUUGGGGAGGUAACGGCCCACCAAGGCGACGAUCAGUAGCUGGUCUGAGAGGAUGAUCAGCCACACUGGGACUGGGACACGGCCCAGACUCCUACGGGAGGCAGCAGUGGGGAAUCUUGCGCAAUGGGCGAAAGCCUGACGCAGCCAUGCCGCGUGAAUGAUGAAGGUCUUAGGAUUGUAAAAUUCUUUCAGCGGGGACGAUAAUGACGGUACCCGCAGAAGAAGCGCCGGCUAACUUCGUG